AAAUUGAAGAGUUUGAUCAUGGCUCAGAUUGAACGCUGGCGGCAGGCCUAACACAUGCAAGUCGAACGGUAGCACAGAGAGCUUGCUCUCGGGUGACGAGUGGCGGACGGGUGAGUAAUGUCUGGGAAACUGCCUGAUGGAGGGGGAUAACUACUGGAAACGGUGGCUAAUACCGCAUAACGUCGCAAGACCAAAGAGGGGGACCUUCGGGCCUCUUGCCAUCAGAUGUGCCCAGAUGGGAUUAGCUUGUUGGUGGGGUAACGGCUCACCAAGGCGACGAUCCCUAGCUGGUCUGAGAGGAUGACCAGCCACACUGGAACUGAGACACGGUCCAGACUCCUACGGGAGGCAGCAGUGGGGAAUAUUGCACAAUGGGCGCAAGCCUGAUGCAGCCAUGCCGCGUGUAUGAAGAAGGCCUUCGGGUUGUAAAGUACUUUCAGCGGGGAGGAAGGGAGUGAGGUUAAUAACCUUAUUCAUUGACGUUACCCGCAGAAGAAGCACCGGCUAA
rnacentral:rRNA from 1 species